AUCGUAGAUAGUGUUGUAACGUCGGUCUGUAAGGAGCGGCCCGAACGCUUUACUAUUUUUCUUUCGCUUCAUUUUCCUUUCCAACUCGCAAUGUAAACACAACGUGUUCGUCUUGAUAAAGUUGUGUGUAUGAUCAAAUUCUCAUAGAUUCACCCGAUUUCCACGCACGUUUUUGUUUUCUCCUCAAUUGUACCGGGUUUCUUAUCAUUUGAAUUUCGCGCGCUUCGCACGGUGCGCGAGUGAACUAAAUGAAUAACCGUACGUACUAUUCGUAAUAAUCGUGUUUUUAUUUUUAUUCCACUGUGUUAUUCGGUCUACGUCACCUCAAAUCCAUGGAUUUACUCUUUUGAAUUGUACUCGUUCGUGAUUUGACGGCUUUUUGUUUUAUGCUGCAAUUGAUUUUGUGAGUGAAGUGUUUUGUUAUUCGCCUGUCACGAGUGGACCUUUCUCAACUUCCAAACCGACUAUCCCAGUGACCCCCCGAGCUCUCUGCAGACUUAACCCCCUGUCCCUCUUCUCUACCUGUUUCUUUCUCUUUCUCUUUCUUUGUAAACGCGCUCGUGCUGUGUCGGAUUGAAAUAUCGGCGGACCCGUGGGAAAGGGAGCAACAACGGCUAUCCCCGGAGCCUGUGCGAUUAUCCGAAAAGAAGCUGAGUAUAAAGCCGCGUUGCGGUGAUGUGGAUUUCUCGGCGAACAACGAGCAGAAAUCAACUUUCCAGUCGUCGACGAAACUCAUGAAAAAUGAUCGAGAGGCGUACUGCCGGAGAGCGUCCUUAGGAUAUCAGCGAAACAUCGCGGGAGGGGGGUGCCCGCGGAGGGGGCGGAGGCUCGAAGUAAAGAAAAGCGAGAUUCUCGAGAGAAACAAGAAAAAAUAUCAGCCGCGCGACAAUAAGAGCACAGCUGGGAAAACUCGAAAUGGGAAACAGCGGCAGCAACAACUCGGCGUCUCAUCAACAGCAAUGCGCGCCGGGCAACCAAGAGAUGGGACGCGGAUGGACCCACUCCUUUCCCCGGGAACACACGAGGCAUCACUCUCAACCCCCCGGGCACAAAGUUCUACCGGAGCCGCCCAAUCAGCGUCUGCGAGCUACCAAUAAUGGAAGUAUCAUUCACAACGGCGGGACCAUAAGUGGCCGCAGGCCAUCCGCUUUGACUCUGCCGCACGAUCUCAACAAGGGAGGAGUGUACAGAAGCCGAAGUACAUCAGCCUCAAACUUGGGUCCGCGUUCCCGGAGCAGUGAUCAAAAUCAGCACAAUUGCUGUCUCUAUCGGUCUCAGGAAGGUCGAUGUCGGGAGCACGAAAUGAUGGAGCUUAAGAGAUUCGGUAGUGAGCCUGAUCUUCGUUACUCGCCAAAGGAGCAUUUGCAUCAAAAUCAUCGUGGCCACAAUCAAGAGACGCGUCAAAGCUCGUAUUACCCGGAGAGAGAAUCGCGGGAACGGGAGAGUCGUUAUCGAGGAAAAAAAAAGUACAAAGCACCAGCACCGCCUGGAAACGGUGAUGGUUCGUCGCCGGAUUCGUACAAGUGGGAAAUUGGCCAAGAGGGUGAGAACCGCGGAGAGGACGAGACGAUACAGGCUCCGCCUCGGAAAUCACGACUCUUCAAAACCCGGGCGGAAAGUAAAAAGGCGCAGAGCAAUUGGCAAAACGGUGUGCAAGAAAACGAGAGUCUUUUGGAACACGAAAGAAGGUGGAGAAACGAUAAAUCCUCGAAGGAAAAUCGUUGCGCAUGGCGAGACAGUGCUGAGCAGGAAAAUUGGUUGAGAGACGAAAAAAGAAGAUCGAAAAAGUACGACGGCAAAAACACUCUUCAGAGAAGUCUUAGCAGUCCCGAAUUUCAAGCCGAACUUAUGCAAGUCGCCCGAAAAGUUCGUAACAAGUUGAAUUACAACAGGCGAGUCGGUCCGAUCGGAGCUGCCACUAUUAUCUCAGCUGAGCCAAAAAUCGAGCUCAGAAAUCCGUCGAACGGUGUUUCUCACAGAGAAGAACGUAAAAAUCCACGCUCCAGAGCCGAGGAACGUCAGGAUGAUCGUCGGACGGAGAAAAGAAAACCGCGGAGUGUCGAAGAACCUUUUGAUCGUCGACGAGAAGAGCUCAGAUCUUCGGCUCGUUUCCACGACGAAAGGAAUCGAAGCAAACACGAAAAUCGACCGCUAAAAGAAAUUCGGGGAUACGAUAACGAGAGAAUCGAUAAUUCAAGAAUUGAAAACUCGAGAAUCGAUCAUGGAAGAACGCGGGAGAGAAUUGAGGAACGUAUACCCGAAAAUUCACAUCGAAGACGAAUUAUUGAAAAAUCUUACGUUUACGAAGAGAGAAUCACUUCGAAUGGCACCGGCGAACUCAUAUCCGGUCGAAAAUCCCACAACGAGAGGCUCGAGAUCGUUGGUAAUUCGAUCGAGGAUCGACACAGACGUGAUUUUAAUUCGAGAAACCGCCACGAGACGAACGAACGUACGAGAAAUCACAAAUCCGAAGAUCUUCUCGAGCAACCAAGAACCAGAUCGGAAAGUCCUGCUCUGAGAAAUUGUCGCGACCGACCGGACGUCAGAGGUCAAGGCUCCGGUAGAGAAAGCACUCCUGAACCUCCUCGUGGCAGAGAAAAAAAUAGCGACCAUCGAAAACGUCGCAACGAUACGAAGGACGAAACUUUUGGCAUUAAUGAAAAAAGAUGGUCCAACAAUAAUGCCAAAAUUAAUGGCGAAAUCUCGAAUAAAAAUAAUACCAAACUUACGGAGAGUAAAGAGUCGAGAGGAAAAAAUUGGAACGGAUUGCCUCCGAGUGGCAAAACCGCUCCGAAAACGUAUUACUUCAGUAUCGAUGACGGUUUGUCGCGGGAUAUUAGAGAGAACGAGAACAGUCAGCAAGUAGAUCAUUCACAAACGGAGCUACAAAACAGAGAUUCGAAUAACCCGGUGCAAAACAUACAGAGUCGAACGGAUAAUAGUAAAAAUCAAAACGGUGUCGAAGACAUUGCGCUGAAGCUUCGUCCCACGCUGCCAAAGAAGCAGCUCGAGAUCCCAAGAUUUUCACCAUCCGCAGCGUGGAGAUUGUUGUCAGCCUUGGAGACUCCUGGACCGACAAUGAGCACAGCCAGCGAAGAAGUACCGGUAAUGUUCGAGGAACGAAUAGAACGUUUAGCGAGGCCACCUCCUCCUCUGAUAGCUCUUGGUCCGCGAAGUUCUCACGACAAAUCCGGAGACUCCGGAAUAUCAGGAGACGCAGGUGCGGCCAACGACGAUUCGCUGGACGUUAGUACGACGAAUCGAUUGAAAACGGUAGUGUCGUCAUCGAGACCAGCGUGGACACCGCAGCAGGAUUUGGGAGAAGAGUCGAGCAGCGACGCCGGAGUAGAUUCCCCGCCGCCGAUGCCACCACCGAUGAAAUUUCCACCGAGGCCCCACGUUUUUUCGCUCUCAUUGCCACGCGAUGAAAAUCGUUUUUAUUCGGUAGACGCGAAAGCAACGAAGGAUAAUUCUUCGUUCAAUUCACUCCAAAAACUGAAGAGAUCAGUUUCAGGCGCCCUGGGACUUGCUCCGAAUGAGAUCGAGGAACGAAAACGUCCUGGUGAGAACCUCGGUGAAAAUUGGCUGCUCUCGACCAGUGCACCGAAUUCACUGCAACACAGCAAAAGCAAUAAUCAUGAGAGUGGAGAAAAUUCAACUCCCAGCUGGGAAAAUAAUUAUUCUCCUGUCGAAAAUGACGAGGAAAUUGAGGAGAUCGAGGACAACGAGGACAAAACCGAUUUUCCAAUGCUCAUGAAACCCCCUUCUUUCUCUUAUCUCGCUUCCGGUGGACACGUCAUGUAUCUCCCAGAAACUAACGACACGGAGCAUCGAACGCAGAGCCUGAAUUAUCGAAAUUCUGCCAACGAAAUAGGUAACUCGAAAUAUCGUAAAAACUCCGAUGACUCGAGGCUCCCCAACAAGAUUGGCUCUUUCGGUAUUAACGGCAUCAGCAUCAACGGCGGCAUCAGAGACAUGGCAAUUCAUCGUGAGCGUUCUUUCACCGACAUUGGACCAAAGUCUCGCAAAUAUCCAAACUUUUUCAAAUCUUGUGAAAAUAUCUCGGAGAUGAGACAACGAAGCGCCUCCCCUGUUCAUCACGGACCUGAAAGCCUUCAAGAUCCUAAAACCGAGUCUCCCCCUAAUGCGAAAAAUAAUAACGCGAAAAAUCAAAAAGGUAAAAGAUUCACUUUCCAAUCCACCGUUCGACAAAUCGAGAGACGAAGACUCGCCGAAAAAUUGUCACGCGAAGCUGAAGCCAAAGAGCGACAGAGAAAAAGUGAACUCGAAGUUAUGCGCAAAGUUGAAGAGGAAUUCCAACGCAAACGAGCCAGGGAAAAAGCCAAUAUUAGGCAGCAGCUGCGACUUUAUACUAUGGAUGAAAAUUCAAGCAGUUUGCCUCCGGCUUGGGACAGCUCACAGUUAUCCCGUGCGGAUCCGGACGGCGCACCUUCGUCCUCAGCAUCUUCGCCUACCUCAGCACCACCUGGAAAAAUGGCUAAUCGUAAAAACAGCAUUGGCAGCGAUGAAUAUCAGCAUAGAAAACGCGUUUCCGAAUCACGAGCUCAGCAACAACAACAACAACAACCUGUGCAACAACGAGAAUACAAAGAUUACAGGCCAAAGUACUACGACUGGGCACCCGAUUCCUCUUCUCAUUUGGACGCCAAACAAACCACCGUCCAUCCAAAAGUCGUUUAUGACAUUCCAAAAAGCUCUCACGUUUUCGUUGAUGCCAAUAUUCACACCGCCAAACCAGCGAACGUCAUUUCUACGCCAAGAUCUGACAAUUACAGCGAAUUUAGAAGAAAAAUUUUGUCAUUCGACAGGAAGGACUUUGCGCACGGUGCUGUAGCUGGAAAAUCUUCGUUGGCUAGUAGCGACAGUGAAUUGUCGCAGCCAAACACGAGACCUCAUUCCCGCCAAAAUGGAAAUAAAUGCAAAUCCUUAAGAUCCAGGUAUUAAGGUUGCCGUAAAGUAAGUAGUCCUAACACCUCUAGUCAUCUAACAACGCUUCAUUAAAACAAAGAAUGCAAAGAAAAUGAAAAAAAAAAAACAAAAAAAAAACAAAAAACAAAAAAUACCAAACACCCAAUAUGAUCCGAGGAAACGCUUCUAACUGACAUGGCUGUUGUUGGGCUACAAAAUGAGUAACUCUGAUCCAUAAUAGAUCCGUCAGCCCAGCCCGAAGCGAAGGAGCCGGAUGCGAGGAGAGCCCCGUCGAAGCGAUAAAGCAAGAGAGAAACACGUCAACGAAUGGUUUCAUGUUGAACGGAGUACAGCCUUUCGUCAGAGAGAAGAGCU
rnacentral:misc_RNA from 1 species